UACGUAGGGACCAAGCGUUGUCCGGAAUCAUUGGGCGUAAAGAGCGUGUAGGCGGCUUGUUAAGUCUUGCGUGAAAUCUCGGGGCUCAACCCCGAGCGGUCGUGAGAAACUGGCAGGCUAGAGUGCGGGAGAGGAGAGUGGAAUUCCUGGUGUAGCGGUGAAAUGCGCAGAUAUCAGGAGGAACACCGAUUGCGAAGGCAGCUCGCUGGGACGUAACUGACGCUAAGGCGCGAAAGCGUGGGGAGCGAACAGG
rnacentral:rRNA from 1 species